CUCGGCCUCCGCCGCGGGCUCCUCGUCCUUCUCAGCCGCAGCAACACCAGCCGCCGCCAUGAUUGCGCCUCAGCGCCGCCCCUCGGUAUCCCUCGGCUCUCUCCGGAACCUGUCGGAGAGGUUUCGGCUCGCUCCGGAAAUCCUCGGGCUUCUGCGGCCACUCGAACGCCGACACUUCCGCUUUGAGGAAGCGGUUCCGCCUCCGAACCUUUCGGCUCUUUUCGAAGCCUUCGUUGCCCCUCGGAAAGGCUCUUGUGGCCCCGCCUCCCACGUUUCGGCUAUCUCCGUAAACCCUCGGCAACUCUCGCAAUGAGUCAAGGUCCUGCCCACCCUCGAGGGAAGCCAUUUUUGAAGAUGCCUGCUGAAAUGCCCAAGCAAUUUACUCCAAAUCUUUGUACCUUAAAACAACCAUUUAAUUAUUCUCAUGGAAUUUGUGGGCCAGGAAUCCAGACUGGCCGCAGAAGGGAUGGCUUGUCUCUGCUCCACAAGAUCUGGGGCCUCAGCUGGAAAGAUGUGACAGCUGGGAGCUGGAGUCAUCUGAAGGUUUGUUCUGGUGCCAGUGCUGGGCUGACUUCAAAGGCUGGAACUGCCCACUGGAGUGGAGCAUCCACACAUGGCCUCUCUGUGUGCCUUGGGCUUCCUCACAGCAUGGCGGCCUCAGCGUAGUCGGACUUCUUAGAGGCUCGGGGCUCCAGGUGCCAGUGUCCCAGUGACUCAGCCUCAGAAGUCACACAGUGCCACUCUGUGCAACCUACCAGUCAAAGCAGUCACAAGCCCACCUAGAUUUCAAAGGAGGAAAUAAAGAAUUUUGGAGCC